CCCUAGCACAAAGCCCAGUUCUGGGAAGGGUCCCCAAGAAAAUCCCUUACAGAGCCUGAGAAAGAAAGACUACCAUCUCUCCUCUGCCUGGAUCCUUGCUGAGCUAUAAACCAGCAAGUCCACAAUGAUGCAGCCACCAGAAUGGAGAGUAAUGAGAGAAUUAUCGAGAGAGCUUGAUCUGUAGCCCUGGGAGUUGUGUAGCACUUGUGAAUUUGAUAAAGGCACUUUCUUCUCCUUUGGAAAUUUCUGGAGGCAAAAAGCUUUAGGAGUAGCUACAGGCGGAGGGAGAAGAAAAAACUAAUAGCGGUCAAGACAAGGAUUCUUAGCAUCCUUUCCCAGCUUCUGAGGCAACUGAGAGUCAGAAGAGAGAAACUCAGUCCCUAUGGGCCCACAGGCAAGAAAGGAGCCCAGGAGAUAGAGGAGACAGGGAUAUGGAUGCCAAGGUGAUGCCCAGCAGCCAUGUGCCAAGAAAAACCACUCUCAAGUCAGGAUAAUGAGAUCUCUGCCUCUCUUCCUCAUCCAAUCCCAAGGCAACAGAAACUGGUCUUUGAGAAUGGGAAUCAAUUUCAUCCUUCGGCUGACAUGCCCCAGGGAAUCAUGAUGGCGGCAGCAGCUUUAAACCUCACACCUUCAUAAUACAGCAAAAAGAAACAUAUUUUUCUCAGAAGCCCCAGCAAACAUCUUAAUUCAUCUCACUGGCUUCACGGGACACAGACAACAUGUAGGAGAAAGAAGAGUCAAAGUAAAGACACCAAGAUUCCUACAAGUCCUUUGUAGAGCAUCAGCAAUAAGGACAGCAGAAAUAUGAGCAGAAAUUUCUCAAGAAGA